CAAAUGCCAAAGGUGAGACAUGCUGGAAAAGCCUGAUAUGAAUGUGUAGACGUAAUUUUGGAAUUCAGAGGUGCAGCCGGUUGUUGGGAUUGCGCCAUCCAGGCAACGUGGAUAUUCUGCCAUGUACAUGAUAAACCGAGGAUUCUUCGUCAACAUGCAAGAUGUUACUCCCUGUAAACUACUGUUGGCAGAAAAGCUGAUACUUUGGGAAAACGGUUAUGGCAAGUGCGAUGACUAAAUCCCCAUAGGUCAGUUGUCUUGCUUUCACAAUUGCAACGAAGAUGAAUCAUGGAGUCAAAAACAUUAAAAGGUGGUACUAUUUUAAAUUUUUUAAUUGUUUUAAUUGUUUUAAUUGGUGUAUCGCUAAGUGCUGAUACAUGUGUAGAACAUGCUGGAAUUCAUGUCAUCCU